rnacentral:rRNA from 1 species
UACGUAGGGGGCUAGCGUUGUCCGGAUUUAUUGGGCGUAAAGAGCGUGUAGGCGGCCAGGUAGGUCAGCUGUGAAAACUCGAGGCUCAACCUCGAGACGCGGUGAAACCAUCUGGCUAGAGUCCGGAAGAGGAGAGUGGAAUUCCUGGUGUAGCGGUGAAAUGCGCAGAUAUCAGGAAGAACACCCGUGGCUAAGGCGGCUCUCUAGUACGGUACUGACGCUGAGACGCGAAAGCGUGGGGAGCGAACAGGG